CCUACGGGUGGCAGCAGUGAGGAAUCUUGGUCAAUGGACGAAAGGCUGAACCAGCCACGUCGCGUGAAGGAUGAAUGCCUUCUGGUUGGUACACUUCUUUUAUAGGGGAAUAAAACUGUCUACGUGAGGAUAUUUGUCUUGACCAUAUGAAUUAAGAUAGGCUAACUCCGUUCCAGCCGACGAGCUAAUACGGAGGAUGCGAGCGUAACCCGGCUUGAUUGGGUUUGAAGGGAGCGUAGGUGGGUUGUUAAGUCAGUUGUGAAGGUUAGCGGCUCAACCGUAAAAUGGCAGUUGAAACUGGAAGACUUGAGUGCAGUAGAGGUAGGUGGAAUGCGUGGUGUAGCGGUGAAAUGCGUAGAGAUCACGAAGAACGCCGAUUGCGAAGGCAGCUUACUGGGCUGUAACUGACACUGAGGCGCGAAAGCGUGGGGAUCAAACAGGAUUAGAUACCCUAGUAGUC
rnacentral:rRNA from 1 species